rnacentral:lncRNA from 1 species
AGUAGAGCAUGUAGCCGAGCUUGUUGUGUCGCGAUGUUGAAUGAAACCCGUAGUCUAAUUCUAAGUUGGUCUAUGUCAUAGAAACCACGUAGGAACUUAUGUGCAUAUCAAAUUUAGGUUGUAUAUUUGCUCACGGUGUAGACUUAAAUGAGAUUAGAAAUUGUCUUCUUUAUUCUUGCAUGGUUGUUUGGUUGAGUUUGCAUGAAUGUUGGUUGAUCACAUGUAUAUAUGUAUAGAAGUAAUUUAGGAUUUAUUAUUCUUGUCUUUUCCGAAAUCAUAAAACCUUUAAACCUAUGUGCUUAUUUUAACACUUAUAUUAGAUUAGAUGGAUCUACCCUGUAGUUGGAUCCCCGGUUUAUAACGAUCCCUGCUUGCUUUAUACUACGAUUGAUUUGUUGACAGGGUUAAUUGAUGCGUGUGCAAAUACGUCUUAUCAGAGCCUUCGUGCUCCCCAAAUCACAACAUCUCCCAAUUUAAUUACCAACUUAAACAAGAUAAUCUCAUAGCCAACAGCCACAGUUCAGAGCAACUUUAUUUGAAAGGAAAUGGACUACAAAUAUAAAAAUGAGCGGAAGCUACACUAUUGACUAUGCCUCUUCUCCAAAUAUGUCCGACCUCAACUAUGCAAUCAUGCAAACUGGGCAUUUUUAAAACGAAGAGCCCAGGGGAAAACAUUUGAAAACGAAACGUUAGAGUGAGUGGACAAAAAUAAAUUAACGAAUAAAAUAUUUAUGUUUCCCCAAAUCAAUUUCCAAGGAAAAUCGAAUGCAUGCUGCACGCGAUAAAACUUUUAGCUCAUAAAAUAUCGAGCCUCUCAGGCUCUAUAAUAUAUGUAUGUAUUUACACACGUUCAUACUCCCUAUAUAAAUUCAUGGUUCUAUAUAGGGCUACUACGCUCGCGUCCAACGCUCACGUCACGCCUUAAUGCGGUGCUUCACUACGCCAUUAAGGUGGACAGACGGGUGUAUAAAUAUGUGUCCAUACCCCCUAUAUGAAUUAGACACUCAUAUAGGGCUACUACGUUCGCGUCCAACGCUCACGUCACACCAUAAUGCGGCUAUAUGCUACGCCAUUAAGGUGGACAGACACAUAUGGCUAGCUAGCAUUUUCUAUACAUACUCUCUCAUAAAUACUUAUUUAUAUCCACCGAAAAUCUCAUUUUCGGUAUCUCUCCAAGAGAAAUAAAAAUCGUCAAAAAUUAAAAUGACGUCAAAAUGCUCCACGACAUUAAUUGUUCAUUCAUGAACCAUAGCAUGCAUAUUAUUUAAAACAAAAGUCCACUCACAAAUUAGGCCUAAGCCUGAUGUCGAUCUGGGGCCUCGUCUGCUCGAGCCUCCUCACGUCCUGUUCCAAAUAUAAUAUUAAUUUCCCAACCAAUAAUCCAAUAUUUAAUCAAAAUAGGCAAAAUUACCCGAGAGCCAUAAAUACGCUCAUCAUUACCUAACUUCGAUAAUCUUAAAUCGGAACGAUCCGAACUUAAAUAUCAUACUCAACAGUCGUAAAUACCACCUCCUCAAAAUACGACUUAAAUCCUACGGCCGGAUUCUACAUUAAUUAACCGCCAAAAAUACCAAACUUCGGAAAUUCACAAACCUAUCCAAAUCUCAUCCAAAAAUUCCAUAAAUCACAUCAAUAUACUCCUCUUAAUAUUCCACACUUAAAACCCUAAAAAUCUCCUAACCGGCGCCGGCGCCGNNN